ACAACCCAUUGCAGCCCACAUCAGUACCCUACUGAGGGACACUCAGCCCCAGCACCUUCCUCCCUAUGGAGGCUCCUCCACCACCAGAUAGAACACCCCAAGCCCAGCUCGUUCCUCUGCAGGGACCCCAGCCCUCAAACACCUUUCUCCUCAUGAACACUACCCUACACCUAUACCCCUCUGCAGGGAAACCCACCCUCCCAGAGUAGCUUUCAUGCUCUUCCCUGUUGUGUCUCCUACCAUCUCCCACAGGUUGCACUUUCCUGACCCCUCCUCAAGCAGCCCAAACAUUCCUUCCUUUGGGACUCAGCUUUGCUGCCGCCCCUCCCCCACCAAAACCCUCCUCCCACCUCAAUCCAGGAAAAUACAGUAUGAGGCUGUACAGUUUUCCCUGCUGAGCCCUCUCAAACCUACCCUGAAAGCACAGCUCCAAUGAAGCCACACUGCCAGGAACAAGGUGAACCACCAGGAGCAGACUGAAGAGGCAAAGAUUGUCUCCUGGCUUCUCACUCUCCAGGAUUCUCCAGCAGGAUUCCCUGGCCCCGUAAGAAGAGAGACAGCACCAUCUAGCUUGAAAGGCCACGCAGAAUGACUGAAGAGACAAUUUUGAUGACCUCUCUGGAAUCCUUAUACCAACAAUAAAAACAGAAUUUUUUGAGGACAACAGUGAAGGUCAAUUAUAAGAAUUUGGAAUAGCUUCAAAAACAACAUUCCAGUGCAGCAGACUGAAAGUCCAGGGCAAUUUUAGUUUCGGCAGAAAUGAAUGUGAUGUCAUAACGCAAAUGGAUAUAUCUGGGAAGGAGGAUGCCAUCUAACUACAGACAACUACAGCACCACCAGAGGAGAUGGGAGAACUGGCUGCUCCGCGAGGAGGAGAUUGGCUGCUAGCUAUCAAGACCAAGAACUGGUAUGCUGUACUGGCAACAGCAGGUGGUGAGGCAAAUGUAACAGUCACUGUUUCUGUGAGAACAUUCCCACCGUCUGUGGUCCACUGGAGCUGAAAGGAAAAAGACCUCAGUUCUCAGAAAUGGGACGGGUGCUGAGCAGGAUUCCCUACAAUACUGGCUGGAACGUGAACUCAAGGUUCUGCAUGUAUCCUGCAAAAAGCAGACAACAUCAGAAACUCCUAAGAAGGGUAAAGGAAUUCUGUGCCGUGCCGUGCCCUGCUUUAGGUGGGAUCACCAGCUAUCACAGGAGAACCAGUCUUGGCAGAUAUUAAAAAACCAAACAAACUUUUCAGCUCUUGUGUAAAGUACAUUUGUGAAUUAAGCUCUUAAAUACAGUAUGUUUUUACCUAUUUUUUUAAACUAAACAU